rnacentral:rRNA from 1 species
AUUGAACGCUGGCGGCAGGCCUAACACAUGCAAGUCGAGCGAGCGGCGGACGGGUGAGUAAUGUAUGGGGACUGCCCGAUAGAGGGGGAUAACUACUGGAAACGGUGGCUAAUACCGCAUACUGUCUGAUAACCAAUAUGGGAUUAGCUAGUAGGUAAGGUAAUGGCUUACCUAGGCGACGAUCUCUCGCUGGUCUGAGAGGAUGAUCAGCCACACUGGGACGGAGACACGGCCCCGACUCCUACGGAGGCAGCAGUGGGGAAUAUUGGACAAUGGGCGCAAUCCGGAUGCAGCCAUGCCGCGUGUAUGAAGAAGGCCCUAGGGUUGUAAAGUACUUUCAGUCGGGAGGCGUUACCGACAGAAGAAGCACCGGCUAACUCCGUGCCAGCCGCCGCGGUAAUUC